UACGGAGGAUCCAAGCGUUAUCCGGAUUCAUUGGGUUUAAAGGGUGCGUAGGCGGCCUGUUAAGUCAGGGGUGAAAGACGGUAGCUCAACUAUCGCAGUGCCCUUGAUACUGAUGGGCUUGAAUGGACUAGAGGUAGGCGGAAUGAGACAAGUAGCGGUGAAAUGCAUAGAUAUGUCUCAGAACACCGAUUGCGAAGGCGGCUUGCUAUGGUCUUAUUGACGCUGAGGCGCGAAAGCGUGGGGAUCAAACAGG
rnacentral:rRNA from 1 species